rnacentral:rRNA from 1 species
UACGUAGGGGGCGAGCGUUGUCCGGAUUUAUUGGGCGUAAAGAGCUCGUAGGCGGUUUGGCAAGUCGGGUGUGAAAACUCCGGGCUCAACUCGGAGACGCCACUCGAUACUGCCAUGACUUGAGUCCGGUAGGGGAGUGCGGAAUUCCUGGUGUAGCGGUGAAAUGCGCAGAUAUCAGGAGGAACACCGGUGGCGAAGGCGGCACUCUGGGCCGGUACUGACGCUGAGGAGCGAAAGCGUGGGGAGCGAACAGG